rnacentral:rRNA from 1 species
AGAGUUUGAUCAUGGCUCAGGAUGAACGCCGGCUGUGUGCUAAUACAUGCAAGUCGAACGCGUUGGCCCAAUUGAUUGACGGUGCUUGCACCUGAUUGAUUUUGUUGCCAACGAGUGGCGGACGGGUGAGUAACACGUAGGUAACCUGCCCAGAAGCGGGGGACAACAUUUGGAAACAGAUGCUAAUACCGCAUAACAGCGUUGUUCGCAUGAACAACGCUUAAAAGAUGGCUUCUCGCUAUCACUUCUGGAUGGACCUGCGGUGCAUUAGCUUGUUGGUGGGGUAACGGCCUACCAAGGCGAUGAUGCAUAGCCGAGUUGAGAGACUGAUCGGCCACAAUGGGACUGAGACACGGCCCAUACUCCUACGGGAGGCAGCAGUAGGGAAUCUUCCACAAUGGGCGCAAGCCUGAUGGAGCAACACCGCGUGAGUGAAGAAGGGUUUCGGCUCGUAAAGCUCUGUUGUUAAAGAAGAACACGUAUGAGAGUAACUGUUCAUACGUUGACGGUAUUUAACCAGAAAGUCACGGCUAACUACGUGCCAGCAGCCGCGGUAAUACGUAGGUGGCAAGCGUUAUCCGGAUUUAUUGGGCGUAAAGAGAGUGCAGGCGGUUUUCUAAGUCUGAUGUGAAAGCCUUCGGCUUAACCGGAGAAGUGCAUCGGAAACUGGAUAACUUGAGUGCAGAAGAGGGUAGUGGAACUCCAUGUGU